rnacentral:tRNA from 1 species
UCUCGAUUGGUCUAGUGGUAAGGAUACCUGCUUGUCAUCUAGAGAUCUAGUCACCUACGAUGGUGGGCCCUAGAAAUUCACGAAGAUAAACCGCAGGUGGCCGGGGUUCGAUUCCCCGAUCGAGAG